rnacentral:rRNA from 1 species
UACGUAGGGGGCAAGCGUUGUCCGGAAUCAUUGGGCGUAAAGCGCGCGUAGGCGGCCCGGUAAGUCCGCUGUGAAAGUCCAGGGCUCAACCCUGGAAAGCCGGUGGAUACUGCCGGGCUAGAGUCCGGAAGAGGCGAGUGGAAUUCCUGGUGUAGCGGUGGAAUGCGCAGAUAUCGGGAAGAACACCCGUGGCUAAGGCGGCUCUCUAGUACGGUACUGACGCUGAGACGCGAAAGCGUGGGGAGCGAACAGG